rnacentral:rRNA from 1 species
UACGUAGGGGGCAAGCGUUGUCCGGAUUUAUUGGGCGUAAAGAGCGUGUAGGCGGUUCGGUAAGUCGGCUGUGAAAGUCCAGGGCUCAACCCUGGGAUGCCGGUCGAUACUGCCGGACUAGAGUUCGGAAGAGGCGAGUGGAAUUCCCGGUGUAGCGGUGAAAUGCGCAGAUAUCGGGAGGAACACCUAUGGCGAAGGCAGCUCGCUGGGACGUUACUGACGCUGAGGCGCGAAAGCUAGGGGAGCGAACAGG